rnacentral:rRNA from 1 species
UCCUACGGGAGGCAGCAGUGGGGAAUAUUGCGCAAUGGGCGAAAGCCUGAUGCAGCCAUGCCGCGUGUGUGAAGAAGGCCUUCGGGUUGUAAAGCACUUUCAGCGAGGAGGAAAGGGUGAGUCUUAAUACGGCUUACCUGUGACGUUACUCGCAGAAGAAGCACCGGCUAACUCCGUGCCAGCAGCCGCGGUAAUACGGAGGGUGCGAGCGUUAAUCGGAAUUACUGGGCGUAAAGCGCAUGCAGGCGGCUGAUUAAGCCAGAUGUGAAAGCCCGGGGCUUAACCUCGGAAUUGCAUUUGGAACUGGUCAGCUAGAGUUCUUGAGAGGGUGGUAGAAUUUCAGGUGUAGCGGUGAAAUGCGUAGAGAUCUGAAGGAAUACCGGUGGCGAAGGCGGCCACCUGGCAAGUAACUGACGCUCAGAUGCGAAAGCGUGGGGAGCAAACAGGAUUAGAUACCCUGGUAGUCCACGCCGUAAACGAUGUCUACUCGGAGUUUGGUGUCUUGAACACUGGGCUCUCAAGCUAACGCAUUAAGUAGACCGCCUGGGGAGUACGGCCGCAAGGUUAAAACUCAAAUGAAUUGACGG